UUGUUGUGACUCAACCCCUCUGGUGGUAGCUUAUCUUCAUGAAAAGUGAUCUUGUGACUUUCCAAUACCUGUCCUACCAUGUUAGCUAUCUCUCCUCCGGUAAUGUCGCUUGGUAUAUAUGCCUCACUUAGCACCCUUAAUAGGGAAUUCUUGUGUGCAUCGGAACUUUAUAGCAAAGAUAGGAUAGAAAUUUGUACCGAUGUUUUGUUGUUGAUCAAUGACUGGUAUUCUUUGGCUUGUAUCUUUCUCUAGAGAUUGUCGGGCCACGUUUUAGUGAUGGUUGGCCAACUAGAGGCCUACUUGCUUGACUCAGCCAAAUAUUCUGGGGUAUAACCCUAUCGGUUCUCGUCAUACCUUGUGCCG
rnacentral:lncRNA from 1 species